UACGAAGGGGGCUAGCGUUGUUCGGAAUUACUGGGCGUAAAGCGCAUGUAGGCGGAUAUUUAAGUCAGGGGUGAAAUCCCGGGGCUCAACCCCGGAACUGCCUUUGAUACUGGGUAUCUAGAGUCCGGAAGAGGUGAGUGGAAUUCCGAGUGUAGAGGUGAAAUUCGUAGAUAUUCGGAGGAACACCAGUGGCGAAGGCGGCUCACUGGUCCGGUACUGACGCUGAGGAGCGAAAGCGUGGGGAGCGAACAGG
rnacentral:rRNA from 1 species